rnacentral:rRNA from 1 species
GCCUAAUACAUGCAAGUCGAACGAGUUCUGAUUAUUGAAAGGUGCUUGCAUCUUGAUUUAAUUUUGAACGAGUGGCGGACGGGUGAGUAACACGUGGGUAACCUGCCCUUAAGUGGGGGAUAACAUUUGGAAACAGAUGCUAAUACCGCAUAAAUCCAAGAACCGCAUGGUUCUUGGCUGAAAGAUGGCGUAAGCUAUCGCUUUUGGAUGGACCCGCGGCGUAUUAGCUAGUUGGUGAGGUAACGGCUCACCAAGGCAAUGAUACGUAGCCGAACUGAGAGGUUGAUCGGCCACAUUGGGACUGAGACACGGCCCAAACUCCUACGGGAGGCAGCAGUAGGGAAUCUUCCACAAUGGACGCAAGUCUGAUGAAGCAACGCCGCGUGAGUGAAGAAGGCUUUCGGGUCGUAAAACUCUGUUGUUGGAGAAGAAUGGUCGGCAGAGUAACCGUUGUCGGCGUGACGGUAUCCAACCAGAAAGCCACGGCUAACUACGUGCCAGCAGCCGCGGUAAUACGUAGGUGGCAAGCGUUAUCCGGAUUUAUUGGGCGUAAAGCGAGCGCAGGCGGUUUUUUAAGUCUGAUGUGAAAGCCCUCGGCUUAACCGAGGAAGUGCAUCGGAAACUGGGAAACUUGAGUGCAGAAGAGGACAGUGGAACUCCAUGUGUAGCGGUGAAAUGCGUAGAUAUAUGGAAGAACACCAGUGGCGAAGGCGGCUGUCUGGUCUGUAACUGACGCUGAGGCUCGAAAGCAUGGGUAGCGAACAGGAUUAGAUACCCUGGUAGUCCAUGCCGUAAACGAUGAAUGCUAGGUGUUGGAGGGUUUCCGCCCUUCAGUGCCGCAGCUAACGCAUUAAGCAUUCCGCCUGGGGAGUACGACCGCAAGGUUGAAACUCAAAGGAAUUGACGGGGGCCCGCACAAGCGGUGGAGCAUGUGGUUUAAUUCGAAGCAACGCGAAGAACCUUACCAGGUCUUGACAUCUUUUGAUCACCUGAGAGAUCAGGUUUCCCCUUCGGGGGCAAAAUGACAGGUGGUGCAUGGUUGUCGUCAGCUCGUGUCGUGAGAUGUUGGGUUAAGUCCCGCAACGAGCGCAACCCUUAUGACUAGUUGCCAGCAUUUAGUUGGGCACUCUAGUAAGACUGCCGGUGACAAACCGGAGGAAGGUGGGGAUGACGUCAAAUCAUCAUGCCCCUUAUGACCUGGGCUACACACGUGCUACAAUGGAUGGUACAACGAGUUGCGAGACCGCGAGGUCAAGCUAAUCUCUUAAAGCCAUUCUCAGUUCGGACUGUAGGCUGCAACUCGCCUACACGAAGUCGGAAUCGCUAGUAAUCGCGGAUCAGCACGCCGCGGUGAAUACGUUCCCGGGCCUUGUACACACCGCCCGUCACACCAUGAGAGUUUGUAACACCCGAAGCCGGUGGCGUAACCCUUUUAGGGAGCGAGCCGUCUAAGGUGGGACAAAUGAUUAGGGUGAAGUCA